AGGCAGGAAACUCAUGUGAAUAUGUACUAUAGCAUCCGAAAUACAAAGAAGGCUCGUCUUCCUUGAGAACGACUUAGAAGAGGGUUUGAAGUAGUGCCAAAUAAUGAUAAUCGAUUAUAGCUAGUUUUUACAUCUCACUAAUUUCUACUUCCUCCAUCCUAAAAUAUAGCUAUCUAUACAGGAUGUGACAUUACUCGAAUCUGGACAGGAGGCUGUCCAGAUUCGUAGUAUUAGAUAAUGUCACAUCCUAUACUAGGUAGCUACAUUUUGGAACGGAGGAAGUAAUCCAUAGAUCGCACCAGAAAAAAAUUGUGAGUGGGAUAAGUUAUAAGUAGCCUCUCACACAUGUUACAUUCGACAAGUCUAUAACCAUAUGUGCCCACCAUUGCGCCCCAUCGAGAGUUCUCAAGACACUGCAGCUAAGGCUAGGAGGCAUCGUGAAACACAUCCAGAUGCCUCUCAUAAAGGUUUCUUCGCGGUUACUCCCAAGCAUGAUGAGGGACCUCUUCGGUGCCACCAUCGUGUCCAUGGAUGCUACAUUGGCAUCACGCACUGCCGGCCGGAUCACGGGCUGAGCUGAGACCAUCAGCUCAGCAGGAGCUAUACAUCAGGCAAAAGAUUGUUCAUAUCAGAAAUUCAGCAGCGACCAUGACAGAAACCAGGGAGCAAAGCUAUGCUCGUGCCGCUGCAUGUUACCAGCAAGCUUGGCGCGGGUCACGAGUAUGAUGGCAGGUUGAAAAUCAGCUUAUUUUUGGACAAAGGAAGUAGUCUGUUUCUAUCCAACGCGUUUUAAACUGUUGCAUUAUAUAUGUCACCUGAUGUUCAAAAAUGCAAUAAUUAAACCAUGAACUUGAAUUAAUGUAUCAAUGCGCACAAUAGCUAGCUGCAUUAAUUAGAAAAAAAAUGAAGAUGUAACUUUUUCUAUCGUUUUGCAUGAAUAUACGGGGUUUAAAAGAGUUGGUAAAAAUAUACCGUGGUGGCGCUGUGAAAGAUGCGAACUCGUCGCAAAGUGAGGAAGCGAACUUAUGAUCUCCUCUCUCGAUUUAUUCGUGGACGGUAGCAGCAAACUAAUCAGGCCUUUUUUUUCUUUCUUGCACGAUCGCAUGCAGUACAAGCGAACUCUCACGCGGAACUCGCCUGCCUCACUGCUCCCAUCCGCGUGUUCGCUAGUCACUUCGCUGCUUCCGUCCGCAAAAUCAUGACGAUUAAAAGUUCGCUUCCACAUGACGCGGACUUGUCGUGAGUUCGCAUCUUUGUAACGCGACGACAGCAUAUUUUUGCCAAAUCUCUUAGAAACGGGAAUAUUCAAGCAAAACUGAGGGAAAAAGAGUAUAUUCUGUUUUUUUUUUACAUUAAUAAGCUAGUACUGCACAACAAAAUAUGCAAGGUUCCUUUACUGUUGGUCACAACUCAAAAUUGCCUCCAGACUUUUCAAUUCCAACAGCCACCUUGUACCAACUCACUUAAUAACAAUAAAGUUCUAUGUUUGUGGUUGAACCUGACGUGCGUUCUUUAUAAAUGAGAGGCAUAAACCACUCAUGUGGUAGACUUAAUUCCACAAUUCCAAAAAGGCAUGCCAUCUUUCAAACCUUAAAGGCAACUUUGAAGACAGAUACACAUAUCACACCAAUGACGCACCAUCUAAUUGAUACCCAAUCCAUAGGGCAUUUUACGUAAUUGACAUUCCAAAUCGUAGUUCAUGUUACGUUCUUCUUUUUGUUAUAUAUGUCCAUUAAGCAUAGGGCAUUAUAUCAAGGAAUAAUUUGGAGGGUUGGAAAUGGUGAUAACAUCAAGAUCUGGAGACACAAAUGGGAUGACCGGCUUAUAACUCUGGAAAAGAGGGUGAGGAAUAGAUUAAUGUAUGUUAAAGAUCUAAUGGAUGCAGGCUCCAGAAGCUGGAAUGAGAACUUGAUCCGCCAUGUAAUGCACAAGGAAGAUGCUGACGAGGUUUUAAAGAUUAGGCUGUCCAAUCAACAACCUGAAGAUUUCCCUGCUUGGCAUCUUGAAAAAACAGGGUUAUUUAUUGUGAAGAGUGCUUACAGGUUGGCCUGGAACCUAUCUAAAAAUGUUGUGGAGGCAUCUUCAAGCACAGCAACAUCAGGGGAAAGGAAACUAUGGUUGGCUCUGUGGAAGACAAGGGUACAGGCUAAAAUCAAGAUUUUUGCCUGGAAGUUAGCACUUGACAGGUUACCAACUUGGGUAAACAAGUGCAGGAGAAAAAUUGAAAGACAAAGUAUCUGCCAAAUUUGCGGAUCAGCUGAGGAGGAUGGUUUUCAUGCAACGGUUGAAUGCACAAAAGCAAAAGCACUUAGAGAGGCUAUCAGAGAGGUUUGGCGAUUACCUCCUGAAAUCAAGUUGCUAGAACUGGACCGGAUCGGCUACUGUUGCUCUUGGAUGGAGCUGAUGAAGUUGAGAGAGCGCACACGUUAUAUAUGCUUUGGCGUGCAUGGCAUCUUCGAAAUGAGAUGGUACAUGGUGCUGAUUCCAGUCCUAUAGCUGUCUCUAUCAACUUCUUGGUUAACUAUGAAGCAUGUAUGUUGCCUGUCCGACAACAGAUUGAUGACAAGAAGGGCAAGCGACCAAUGUUUGAGGAACUGACAGAAAAAGUGCAUGCCAGUGCUGUGCAAAUUGCUAAAUGGGAACCUCCACCGGAAGGUGUGGCUAAGGUAAACAUUGAUGCUGGAUUCAGGAAGGAGACGGGUGAUGCUUGUGCUGGAAUAAUUGUCAGAGAUUGCUGGGGCCUGGUUCUUCUUGCAGCUUGUAAGAAGCUUCCAAGAUGCAGCUCUGCUACCCUGGCUGAAGCUUUGGCUUUCCUGGAGGGCGUUCGGUUGGCGAUGAACUGGAUACAUAUGCCAAUAAUACUUGAAUCUGACAAUGCCGAUGUCGUUGCUGGACUGAAUAUAACACAAGCGUCAAGAGCAGAAUGGGGAGGUAUAAUUGCCGAGAUAAGAGUGGCAAUGCAAUGCUUGCUGCAGGUGCAAGUGCAUAAAGUGAAGAGAGAUUCAAAUAGGAUAGCUCAUAUGUUAGCUCAGAUGGUUAUGACCUCAGGAGUUGAAGCGGAGUGGAGGUUAUGCGCUCCGGCUGAAAUUCUAGAGCUGUUAAAUCAGGAAUAUAAUCCUAUGUUUUGUCAUUAAUAAAAUAUCUCUUUACGGUAAAAAAAAGUUGUGGACAAAAUAAUGAUGGAUAUGGGAUAUACCUUCUUGUGUGUCUCUAAUACCAUUAAACACAAGAGCAAAGUUAAGUUAAUGUUAUAACUUAUAAACACUAAUAGAGGAACAAUUAAUCUAUUCUCUACGAUACUCUUAUUCACGUCGACCGACAUUGUCAAUCAGGAUCACAAAGUACUGACCACGUGCAGGGUAAAGAGCAUUACUUUACGUUGGUUGUCGUAGGAACAAAACAUGGUACACUUACGGUUUCUUAAUAAAUGUGGUAAAGGCACUGACGAUUGGCUCAACCUGACACUAUAAUGGACAUAGAUAUAUAUACAUCAUGACCACCAUCUAAUAUAGUCCAUGGUAAUUCCAUCGAAUUGUAUCUAUUGCAAUGGCACCAAUGUAACGUUUUAUUAGGACCUUUUGUAUCUGUUGGUGCAGAAUAAUAGGACUAGGAUGCAUCAGAGAACAGAUAAACCCGCAGUUCGGAAAAGUUUGUUCGUGUAAACCAUGCCAAGCUGGAUCCACUAAAGUUUUCCGUGUGUUGUAGUUUAAUUAGUACACGAGUGGAAGAGGACUUCGGUGACAUUAGUAGCUUAAGUAGGUGAGGCGAUCACACACUCUAUUUGGUUGACAUCCGAGAAAUGAGGUGUCCCAUUUGACACACGUAUCGCUGGUACAACAAAACUAUGUGCACCGUAUACUAGUAGUUGAACCAGAUCAAAUCUUGCCCUCAGUUUUCAGCUCACACUUCCAUUAGUUAGUUUGUUUUUCUAUUACAAAUUUGGAGCAUGCAUGCCAGAUGCCUGCCGGCCUCAACCAUCUGUCCAUCUUUGUUUAUCUUCUAGUCCAAAUACUAGGACUAGGAGGCAUCAGUGAAAACAAGAGCAUCCUGCUCAUAACACACUAAUCGGAAUCACAUUGACCAUCCAAAAGAAACCUCUUGAGCAGCAUGUCACCUGCCCUGGACACUUCAAUUUUGCAGUGCAAUUCAAGUCUGAUGUGUGAUCAGUGUGAAGUCAUCGUAGUUAGCACGGUGGAGAAGGAACGCGGUCUUGCCAAGCUGAUCAGAAACGCAGUCGGCCGGCCAAGGCACAUCAAUGUCGACAGUUGCUUCCAAUCGUCAUAACAAGCAGCGAACCAUCAGCGUGGUGGAUGCACCCAGGGUUCACUCUAUCGGUUGAGGCAUUUGUAUCGGGGGUCACCGAAAUCCCGAAAUUUCCGAAAUUUUGAGCAAAAUUUAGUUGAAUUUGAACAAAUAUUACCCAAAUUAAUGAAAAAAUUGAAAAAUUCAAAAAUUUCGGCCGAAAUAAUAUCGUAUUGGGGGUGACCGAAAUGACUGAAAUUUCCAACACUGGAUGCACGGCGGGAAGGACAACAGUUGUGCAUAAUGUGCCAAGUUCCCUGGUCCUCUUAGAAGGCAGCUUGGAAGUUGGAAUUGGAGCGUGCUAGAUGUUGGUCCGCUUCUGUCAUACUCUCACUAAAUUACAAAAAUGAGGAUUAUUUAUAAUGUUUGAAUGAUUAAUGGGUAUUAUAAUUUUUAUGUUAUUAAUCGAUCCUUGGAGUUAAAUUUUCACUUAUAGCUUAUCAAGACAAAUGAAAAUCUAUAUUCUUUUAACUUUACUCCAAUAGUGCUGGCAGUCUACCAUGUCGGCAAUCUGAUCAAUUCCAAUGGCAGUGGUACUCUGAUAUUAUUCCCAAUGGCAGUGGCACCCCACCUACUCUAUCGAGUAGAACUGAUAACAAAAAUAAAUAAAAAACUAAGAUCAGUAAUCUUAAGGGGACACACCCCUAUUUUAGUUUUUUUUUUAUAUUGGGAGGAACAGGUACUAGAGAAAGAUGUGGGGGUUCAGGGAUGGCUUAAUGAAAGCACACGCUUGUAGCCUUUUAUUAAUUAAGAUAAUAGAAUUAAUUCUGGGCUUUACUUCAUAGAAACUAUAGCCAGUUAUUAUAGAGUUUACAGGUUGAUUAAUAAACAACGAAACUACUUAGACUACUAGACUUAAAAGGAAGAAAAGCUUCAUGUUUACUUGGUAAAAAUAUAAAUAACCGUUGUUCCCAGCAACCCGUAAGUGUAGUCCUCGUCUUCCUCAGAUCAGGCAAUAUCCCCUAAUUUGAGAAAUAUGAGGACAAGGUAUAACUACAAAGCAAGUUAGAGUAUGCAUCUACAGUCACGAAAGACAGUACGGAUCAAUAUUUGGUAAAAACUAAUAUUAUGGCACAAAUUUAUGGGAAUGAGGUUGCCUGGAGAGGUCCUAUUGAAGCAGAGGAAAAAACAUAGGAAUUAACUGUAGAUGAUUUAAAUCGUAUGGAAAAUUCUCCAGUCGGAACAAGGGAUUGAUCCCUAAAACUUUUUUGGUAAUUCUUUAAGAUAAAUGGUGCCUGCAUAUCCUCUUAUGUGUAAGAGUCAUGAGUUAAUUAAAUCGUAAAAUAUACAGCUGGUACCUUAACUUGAGAUGUUGGUGCGAUCACUUAUCCUAAAAUGUGUGCCAUAUGAAUUUUGUUGAUUGGCGAUAUCCAUGUAGCAGAUUGCUAUGCCCAUAUGGCUUACAAUCACAACAUAUUAGGCCAGUGUGCCUUCAAAUUUGGUAAAAUGUAGUCCAAGUAACAUGUAUUUUUUAACAUUUGGUAACAAGAUGUGUGAUUAAAAGCACGCCACCUCGCAGCUGUGGUACCGUCCGGUACAAUAUACUCCUAAUUAACCAAACACUGCACACUUCGGUACAGUUGCGAAUCAUUAAUCUCCUUGCCCUCUUACAUAUCAUGUACCAACUACCACGUACACAAUAUACAAAUAAUUAAAGCUGGUGUGCAUAAUUGUCAUCGAAUUAAAUUAAAUGAACUACACUUCCACUCAUCUCAUUUUAAACGAUGAGCUAUAAGUAGGAUGCAUCAUGGCUCUGCCUCUAGUUUUCGAUGCAGUGAAACCAAUUGGCCCAUAUAGAAGAAAGAAGGUACUGGUAUAUACUUAAUACUUCGAUGCACUCCGAUUUUAAACCACUCCAACAAACCAUCCAAGUUGGUAUUUGAUAUGCAGUGGCGCCAAGGUCUCAUAGCCAUCAAACAUGCCCUACAGCAAGCAUGUAGGUAGCGACAUAUAGGACUAGGAGGACUUGGAGAACCUUGAAGCACCAUAAUCAUAGCGGUAUCUUUGGACAAUAUCAUGCGAAGUGGUAAGAAACGGUACACCCGCAUGUUAGCAGCCAUGGGUGUUGUCAUGGUGUGAUGUCCUGAGAUCCUAUGUUAGGUGUCGAGCGACAUCCAUUGUCCGGAGAGCUGUGUUGGUCUACUGGACUGCACAGUGCUUUUUCGGCGAUGUGUACUGGGCAAGUGGCAGGCAUGGAGGAGUCAUCCAGCACGGAGAGCCGCACUUAGGUUGCAUGGUGAAAAUGAUUUGGCAUGCAUGCUGCCCUGGUCAUUCCCCACUAUGGGCACAUGUUUAACCCAUGAACACCUGCUCUCACGCAGCCCUAGGAGUGAUUGGAAGAUGCUUCAUUACUUCUACUGGAAGGGAUUACUAACCCGUUAUUUUCUAUUUUCUGAAUGCCUAUUGUCUAUUUAACUUUGCCUGCAACAUAUGGUAGUGUGAUUCGCAAAAUCGAAAUUCUAAAGUUCAACUAGUACUAUGAAUGUAUGCUUAUAUAGCUCAAAUUACCAUUCGUUUCAUAGUCGUGAUGGGCUUUUGUAAGUUUUUGGUUAAGAUGGGGCUUUUAUUACCUUGCGUUUCAUAGUCCAUAGCUGUCCAUGUUCCUGCUUUCCACCUCAUUCUUCCUGUUCCUGUUCUCAUCCACCAACACCAGUACCAAGAAGAAGACUUAUUAGUAUGUAGCACAAAAGAUAAUUCAUUGUAAUAUUACCUUCCAUUCCUCUACAAUCAACUAACUAUACUCCCGCAUAGCCAAAAUAUAAAAACUCCCAAUUCCUAAUCCAAAUCCAUAACUACCGAGCUUGUCUUGUUAACUAGUGGACAAGGGCUAAUUAAUCAAUAUGCUAAGCAAGUUGGUGGAAUCGAAGAGAAGGAUCGGAAGGCAAGUUCUAUAUCCGAGGAAUCGAAGAGAAGAGGAUGAAGGCAAUCUAAUAUAGGGAAAGAAAGAAAUCGAUCCAAUGGAGUUGGAGAACCUAGGUAUUGUGGGGAUCAACCGGGAAGCUGCAUCUUCGCCCGCAUCACCAUCGCCCGCAUAGCCAUCGCCACCACCCGCAUAGCAAUCGCUAUCGCUCCCCAUCGACUCUAACAACUACAUGCGACACACGCUCUAGUGCCUCAUCCGCGCGUGCACUGGAAGAGGAUACCGUUCUAUCCUACUCCGAACGGGAUACCGGUAUAUAAUAUUUACAUAAAAAUAUGUAUCCUCGUUGUUGAUCAUGUCCUUUUGGUUUCUGAUUUCUAACGAAAUUAUUGUACCAACAGUAAAUAAAAGUGAGUUGGUGCGUUUUGGUGGUUGAGACGAUAGCAACUUCACAACCCAUAUUAUCCCACUGCUCUGCUUAUACAUAGGAAGCAUAGAUGCAUCAUGUGGUCUUUCAUGCUUCCAGGCUUCUUUCAAAGAAAGUGAGUCAACACUGACAGCAGCUUGAAGAUGAGAUAUAUGUUGAUACUGUGCCAUACCAGUUCAGUGACACACCAUGCCAUAAUAGUCCAUGUUAAUUAGCUACUUUGAGUGCAAUGUACGGCCAGGGCUAGGAGGCAUCAAUCGGAGAACAAAAAUACAUUCUGCCAAUAGAAGUUACUUGCACUAACAAGAAGUAUGAGCAACCACUUCUGUACCAACACAGAGUCCAUGGAUGCUGUCCAAAAGGCGUUCGCACCAAGGCAGGCUAUCAGCUUUGGUCAGAUGGUCACCUCAGCUCUAGUGAGAGAUGGUGAUGGAGGCAGGGUGGAGCACAUGCUAUGGUGAUCGAUCAACACAACACUCACAAGGUCAGGUACACAACGGCCUGCAUCUUAUGGUUACCUCUAGCUCUAGGCGUGGUACAUGCUGUGGAGCAUGGGAAACCAUGUCAUCUCGUAGGGGCUGUUGAGUUGGCACAAGUUAGCAUAUAUGUUAGGUUUGUUAACAUUUUUUUUUUGGUUAGAAAUACAGUACAAGCUCUUAGCAUA